CACGUGUUUAGGGAAGAAUUGCUCACCACACAUCUCUUUGUUUUCUUGCUUCCACUCUUCUCUCACUUACUUUUCACCUAACGCCCCCUCACAUUUUGGAAUAGAGUUUAAUCUCAAAUUCAGUAAAAAGAAGGUUUUUCUCGGGGUUGUUGAUGUUUAUGGUCAACGCAGCCUCGACUGGUUAGUUGCUUAGGUCUUAUGGUUUAGCUCAGGUAUUGUGUUCUGAGCGUCGUAACUUCUACAUAUGAUCUUGAAUUUUAAUGAUCAUUAUAUUCGUGUGUUCGUAUUUGAGUCUACUACAACUUUCUCUGCAACAAUCAUUUAGAUGUUCUCAUAAAUGUUAGUUACUAAUGCUUGAUUAGCAGGUUAAAUCACUAAACUAACCAGAUUGGGUCUUGUAAUAAAUUGACCUUUUUUUUAUUAAACCUUACAAAUGAUCACAAAGGAUAUUGUCAAGAAAAGUUUGUAACUUUUUUCUCUCUUUUUUGUUUAGUUUUACUCGGUGUUGUAAAAAUCCAAACUUAUGGGUCACAUUUGAGUGUUUGACAGUUUGACAGAGUCUCGAAUCAAAAGUCUGUAAAUUGUAAAGAAACCUUACAUUCUUUUAACCAUGAAGAAGCUGAAAUUAUCGAGUACUAAACGAUACUGUUUUAUCAAACAAACCCAUCAUUUUUAGGCUAAAACUAGAGCUAUGAUUUUAUAGUAUUAAGUUCCUAGUGUUUUUCGUAUCACAUAAUGUUAAACUUAAAACUAUAACUCAUAAAUACAUAUAAUAUGAAAAAUGAUUUGAGAUUUUAUUUCAUUAUUACAAACCAAAUUAUAAUUUGUACAUUACUUUCAAAUUUUUGUUAUUAUUUCGCGAACCGCUUUUUGUAUACUUGAAUAACCUUGGUAUACAUUAUCCCAAUUUAUGAACACUUUUAUAAAGUACGUAUAUGAGAAAAUUUAUUACUCCUCAAGCGCUAUUUAUUUUUGUCAUUGAUUUAACUUUUCACUUAAAAAAAGGACGUAUAGUACCAAUAAUUUUUUAUUUUUUUCAAUAUUGAACAGUUUAUAAAAUAGAUUUCUUAAUUACAUAAGACAAUCAAAAUAGCUAUUUAUCAGUGCUCAAUACUAAUAGUAAGGUGCUUACAUUUCUUACCAAUAGUAACCUACAUUUUUUUCCGUUAAUAGCAAUGUACUUAACCUUUUUACCCAUAAAUAUAAUAGCAACAUACUUAGAUUUCAAUUUCAAUAUUGGCAUAAUACUUAAAAUAUCACAUAUUUGCUAUUAUUGAUAAAGAAAUACAACUACACUGCUAUUUUGAGUAAAAAAAUAUAAGUAUAUUUCCUAGUUUGAUUAUUAAAAAAAAGGUAAAGUAUGUUGCUAUUUCCUACAACUUGCCCUAAAAAGGUAUAACACAAACAAAAUUAUUCAACCAUACAUUGGACAUGGAGUGCAAAUUUAAUGACCAAAAUAACCCCCAUAUGACCACCUUAUUGAUUGAGGUUAAUAGGUUAAAUUAUUCCUAACUUUAAAAUUCUGAAAUCUAUUAUAGUAGGAAAAUAGCUCAAGAUUUCAAGUAAUCUUCCCAACCCAGUUUUUCUAGCUUCUGGGGCUUUUCCAAUACAGCAUAUCUUGCAUCUUGUUGGAAUUGUACCAUUCUGUAAAAUGACAAUUAUGCCCACGUCAAGAUUUUACUUUGUUGGCAUUGUUGAUUGCAACAGGAACUCCUCUUGGCAUCUACACAUCAAAACUUUGGCAGCUUCUUUCAUCACCGGAAGAUCUGAAUCAGAACCCGUUAUGAUUCCGACACGUGGAGCCACUGCAUCAAACAUUAUGAGGAGAGAGGGUAUUUACGUCUUUUUACAUACACAAAAUUCCACAUUUUUCGCUACACUUUUUGUCCCAUUCACAUCAGUCAACAUUACAAAUGAUUUCAACUGUUUUUCCACAAUUCCCAUUCAUGGGCCCACAA